UACGGGGGGGGCAAGCGUUGUUCGGAAUUACUGGGCGUAAAGGGCUCGUAGGCGGCCAACUAAGUCGGAUGUGAAAUCCCUAGGCUUAACCUGGGAACUGCAUCCGAUACUGGAUGGCUUGAAUCCGGGAGAGGGAUGCAGAAUUCCAGGUGUAGCGGUGAAAUGCGUAGAUAUCUGGAGGAAUACCGGUGGCGAAGGCGGCAUCCUGGGCCGAUACUGACGCUGAGGAGCGAAAGCGUGGGGAGCGAACAGG
rnacentral:rRNA from 1 species